GUCAUCAUUAUUCAUCAAAGUAAAAGUCAAGAAGAAAAAAAAAAAAAAAGAGUCACACUUUUAAAAGUUGAAAAAAAAAGAGAGUAUCUGCUCCGGUCCGAUCAUCGUACUGAAGGGAGAGUACAGAGUACUUCUUAUACCUAAUUUGAGUGAAUUAAGACGAUCUCUCGCUACUCUCAGCUGAAUUAAAACAUAAAAAUCAAUGGCAGAAGAAGCAGCGGAUAAGGCAGCUUUUCUCGGUGGUCUUGUUGUUACAUUCAAGGAGCAAAUCCACACUGAUGUUCUUGUUAAGCCUGGUCAGCAUGGCUCACCCAUACCUACUCACAAAGCCGUUCUGGCGGCAAGAUCAAAGGUCUUCAGGAACAUGUUAGAUUCUGAUGAAUGCAAAACCUCCUCCGAGGAAUCUAUCACUCUCCCGGAUUUGACCCACGAAGAGCUCCAUACAAUCAAUACAGAGCCCUCUAUUUGGCUGCCGAU